AGUGAACGCUGGCGGUAGGCCUAACACAUGCAAGUCGAACGGCAGCACCAUAAGAGCUUGCUCUUACGUGGGGCGAGUGGCGGACGGGUGAGGAAUACACCGGAAUCUACUUUUUCUUAGUUGAUAACGAAGGGACACUUACGCUAAUACCGCAUACGACCUACGGGUGAAAGCAUCGGAUCUUCGGACCUUGUGUGAUUGUAUGAGCCGAUGUCGGGUUAGCUAGUUGGCGGGGUAAAGUCCCACCAAGGCGACGAUCCGGAGCUGGUCUGAGAGGAUGAUCAGCCACACUGGAACUGAGACACGGUCCAGACUCCUACGGGAGGGAGCAGUGGGGAAUAUUGGACAAUGGGCGCAAGCCUGAUCCAGCCAUACCGCGUGGGUGAAGAAGGCGUUCGGGUUGUAAAGCCCUUUUGUUGGGAAAGAAAAGAAGCAGGUUAAUACCUCGCUGUUCUGACGGUACCCAAAGAAUAAGCACCGGCUAACUUCGUG
rnacentral:rRNA from 1 species